ensembl:lncRNA
GACCUACAAAAGCAGCAGCAACAACAACUGCUAAAGCUACAACUGCUGUACCUACAACUGCAGCACCAACCACUGGGGCACCUACAACUGCAGAACCUACCACUGCAGAACCUACAACUGCAGCAUCUACAACUGCAUUGCCUACUACUGCAGGACCUACAACAGCAGCACCAACCAAUGUGGCACCUACAACUGCAUAUCCAACCACUGUGGCACCUACAACUGCGUUGCCAACGACUGCAGGACCUGAAACAGCAGCACCGACCACUGUGGCAGGAACAACUGAUUUAACAACCACUGAAGGACCUAAAACAGCACAGACAACUGCAGAACCUAAAUCUGCAGUACAUACAACUGCCUUGCCAACCACUGCAGGACCUACAACAGCAGCACAAACCACUGUAGCACCUACCACUGCAGCAGCUACAACUACAGAGCCUAAAACUGCCUUGCCUACUACUGCAGGACCUACAACAGCAUUGCCAACCACUAGAGGAUCAACAAAAGGCGUACUAACCACUGUGGCACCUACAACUGCAGAAACGACCAUUGCAGGAGCAACAACUGCCUUUCCAACUACUACAGGACCUGCAACAGCAGCACCAAUCACUGUGGCGCCUACAACUGCAGCACCUACCACUGCAGCAGUAACAACUGUCGAACCCAAAACUGCUUUGCCUUCUACUGCAGGAUCUACAACCGCAUUGCCAACAACUACAGGACCUACAACAGCCGUACCAACCACUGUGCCACCAGCAACUGCAGCACCUAUUACUGCAGCAGUAACAACUUCCUUGCCAACCACUGCAGGACCUACAACAGCAGCAGGACCUACAACAGCAGCACCUACCACUGUGGCCCCCACAACUGAUGCACCUACACCUGCAUUGCCAACAACUGCAGGACCUACAACAGCAGCGCAAGCCACGGUGGAACCUACCACUGAAGCACCUUCCACUGUAGCAGCUACAACUGUAACAGCAACAGCAACCACUGCCUUGCCAAACACUGCAGGACCUACAACUGCAGCAUCUACCACUGAAACAGUUACCACUGCAGCACCUACAACUGCAUUGCCUACGACUUUAGGACCUACAGUACAACAGCAGGGCCAACACUGAGGCACCUACCACUGAAACACCUACCAUUGCAGCAGCUACAACUACCUUUCCAAACACUGCAGGACCUACAAGAGCAGGAUUAACCACUGUGGCACCUACAACUGCGGCACCUACAACUGCAGCACCUACAACUCCCUUGCCAACCACUGCAGGACAUACGACAGCAGCACCAACCACUUUGGCACUAUCAACUGCAGAAUUUACCGCUGCAGAACCUACAACUGUCUUGCCUGCUACUGCAGGACCUACAACAGCAGCACCAACCACUUUGGCACCUACCACUGAAGCACCCACCACUGCCGCAGCUACAACUGCAGCAGCAACAACUGCAUUGCCAACAACUGUAGGACCUACAACAGCAGCACAAACCACCAUAGCACUUGCAACUGCUUUGCCAACUACUGCAGCACCAACCACUGCAGAAGCUACAACUGCUGCACCUACAACUACCUUGCCAAAAACCGCAGGAUCUACAACAGCAGCACCAACCACUGUGGCACCUACCACUAAUGCAGCAACUGCUACUGAAGCACCAAGAGUUGUCUUUCUCUUAGCAACCUUGCAACAACCAUUCGUAGAAGAACUCAAUAAUCGAAACAGCCAGGAAUUGAGUUAAAAGUUCUUACUGUGUUUGAUUUUAUCUACGGAACAAGAUUUGAUUUCAUUUUUCUCCACACUUAUGUGAUCAUUUUUAGGUCAUAUUUCAAAUGUUCAGAGUCCUACUGUAUUUAUUUACGAUAUUUUGAAUUAGUGAUUACAUAAAAAAUGAAAUACCACAACCAUGCAGCUGUUGGUUCUGUUAACAUUAUUUGAUUGACAUUUUCUUUCACAAUGUAGUCCACGUGCAGCGUUGACACGAAUGUCUACAACCGAAGUAAAGGUUGGCAUUGAGUUCAAUCAGCUUCUGUCACUGUAUUUUGUAAGUAUAUUGGCCUCCGGUUAAUCGUAAUGGUUUGGAAGACAAAGAAAUACACCCCAUGUCACUAACAGUCUGUGAGUUGGUUUGUGUGCUUUCCUGAUCCCUCUUUGGCAAAUCGCUUGUUUGACAAACAACACACAAUCUAAAUAUAAAUAUCAUGAAGUCUGCAUUGGCAUUAGUAAGGCUACUUAGACUGUG